GACGAACGCUGGCGGCGUGCCUAAUACAUGCAAGUAGAACGCAGUUGCGAACGGGUGAGUAACGCGUAGGUAACUGCCUUAUAGCGGGGAAUAACUAUUGGAAACGAUAGCUAAUACCUCAUACUGUGGGUGUGACCUGCGUUUGAUUAGCUAGUUGGUUAGGUAAAGGCUCACCAAGGCGACGAUACAUAGCCGGACUGAGAGGGGGAUCGGGCACACUGGGACUGAGACACGGGCCAGAACUCUACGGGGCGCAGGCGUAGGGAAUUGUCGGGAAUUGACGGAAGUCUGACCCAGCCAAGGCGCGGUAGUGAAGAAAGUUUUCCGAACGUAAAGCUCUGGUGUUUGAGAAGCGGUAACUAACCAGAAAGCGACGGCUAACUACGUGCCAGCAGCCGCGGUAAUAC
rnacentral:rRNA from 1 species